rnacentral:tRNA from 1 species
UGCGGGGUAGAGCAGCCUGGUAGCUCGUCAGGCUCAUAACCUGAAGGUCCCUGGUUCAAAUCCAGGCCCCGCUACCA